UCCCUGAUAGCUCAGUUGGUAAAGAAUCCACCUGCAAUGUGGGAAACCCUGGGUUGAUUCCUGGUUUGGGAA
rnacentral:tRNA from 1 species